rnacentral:rRNA from 1 species
UACAGAGGGUGCGAGCGUUGUUCGGAAUUAUUGGGCGUAAAGGGCUCGUAGGUGGCCAACUAAGUCAGACGUGAAAUCCCUCGGCUUAACCGGGGAACUGCGUCUGAUACUGGAUGGCUUGAGUUCGGGAGAGGGAUGCGGAAUUCCAGGUGAGCGGUGAAAUGCGUAGAGUAUCGGAGGAACACCGGUGGCGAAGGCGGCAAUCCGUGGACCGACGACGUGAACACUGAGGAGCGGAAAGCCAAGGGGAGCAA